AGCGUUGUCCGGAUUUAUGGGGCGUAAAGAGCGUGUAGGCGGUUGGGUAGGUCCGUUGUGAAAACUCGAGGCUCAACCUCGAGACGCCGAUGGAAACCCCCUGACUAGAGUCCGGAAGAGGAGAGUGGAAUUCCUGGUGUAGCGGUGAAAUGCGCAGAUAUCAGGAAGAACACCGGUGGCGAAGGCGGUUCUCUGGGCAUUACCUGACGCUGAGGAGCGAAAGUGUGGGGAGCGAACAGG
rnacentral:rRNA from 1 species